CAGGGGAGUGAGUGUCUUGACAGCUGCGUCUUUUCGAAGGGGGAGAAAUGUGCUCAUUUUUUCCCUUUUCUCCAAAUAAAAUGCUGCGUUUGUGCCCUUUUUCCCCCCCUCCCAUGUGAAAGGACUUUGCACAACGCGUUUCCGAGAAAGAAGAUGCGAGACUUUUCUUCUCUUUCCUGGAACUGCCCCAAUGAAUCACUCGGGUCCCCCCGGGGGUGCGCGGGGGCUCCGCGGACCCCAGCCCGCCCGGCGCGGGUGCGCUCCCCCGCAGCAUCUCCGUUCGUGCUGUGCCACCUCCCGGUGACAGCGCCGCGGUGCAGGGCUGGGACAGCACGCGCACCCCCCAGCACUGCGGGACAUCCCGCAGCGACCAGGCAGCGGCAGGUUUGCAUCUGCAGGGUUGGUUUUGCUACCACAGUUAUCCCAUCUCUUAAGGUGCUGGACCAGCCGGCUGUGCCCCCGCCCCCCUCCAUCAGCGAGCGUGCUGCAUCCCGGUGGGAAAGGACCUGGGGUGCUGGCUGGACAUGGGCCAGUGGUGUGCCAAGGUGACCAAGGAGGCCAACAUCAUCCUGGUUUGUAUCCAAAACAGCGUGGCCAGCAGGACCGCGGCAGCGAUCGUCCCUCUGUGCCCGGUACUGCCAGGAGCAGCUAUGAGGAUGCCAGUGAUACCCUCAUCCCAGGGCUGUGGUUUAUGAGCAUCAGCAAGGGAGGAGCACUCACCACAUGGGACCACAGGCUCCAGAGCCAGAAACAUGGGAGGCGAAGAGGAUUGUAGAGGACUGGGCUGAAUCUCAGGAAGACUCACCAGGUAAUGAUGUGUCAAAAAAAAAAAAGCUGCUCGGAGUUUCCAUUUUCUUAGGGGAAGUGCAGAACUAUAGCAGAACCUUUCAUCAGAGUAUUUCCAGUUUUCUGUGCAAGGCAUCCAUCCAAGGGAAAGCAGUGGUUCCCAGGCAAGUGCUGCCCGGCUGGAAGAGCCCCAGGCUGCUGGGAGAGGGGCUCAGCCCCCCAGGCCCUGCUGCUCUGUGCUGAAGGUGGCACCACCGCCUCUCUUAUGAGCGAGAGCCUUGUUCUGCAGCUGGACACACACCGAGGAUUUGCAGAUGGAAGGAGGACGUCAAAAAUGUGGCCCGCAGAUGCUGUGUAUGUGGCUGGUGUUCACAGCAAUGUGGCAGCCAUCACCAGCAGGGAUGGUCGCACCUUCAGUGUGCCUGCAGCGAACCUCCUCAAGGAAGUUUCAUCUGUUAGUGGAUGCACAGACCUUGCCAGGAGCACCAGGACUGGUCUGAGUCUGGGGGCAGAUGGAGCCUGAGGCUCCCCUUUGCCAGGGGGAUGUCUCAAUAUCAAGUACACGGACUCAAUGCUGAAGGAAAAGAGAGAAGUCAACGGGUAUUAUUCUAACAUCUUCCUCUUCUCUCCUCCAUGUCCAUGUGACCGCUUCAUUGCACUACUGAUGUGAUGAAAAGGUAUCGCAGCGCUUUCCUCUGCAGUCUGGCAUUAUAGCUAUCUGAAACCUUUAAUCCCUGCUCAGCCACGGAGACUGUUUCUGGUCACUUGUGCAUUAAUGCUGCCAAUCAGACUCUCAUUUUUUUUACAGUCGUAAAACUCCACCCGGCCUCAUGCUGACUUCAGCAGCCAUAAAUCUGUGCCCCCUUUCUCCUUCGAGGGGCUGAGGAUGCCCCCAAUUCAGGGCAAGAAGGAGCAGUUAAUUGGUACGAAAAACAUAACAAAUGUGGGCACAGAUCCAAACCCAGGAUUUAUUUAGGAAGAUUUUCUGGUUAUUAUCUACUUAGGAACAGAGGAUUUGUCAGAACAGAUCAGAGCAUUUCCAUCGAAUCUGGCAUCCUGCAUGUAGCAGAGAUAGUGAGAGGAUGGAUUAGAGGAAAAACUCUCUCCAGCCUCUCCCAGAAGUGUUGGGUCCAGGGCCUGGCGCUGUCGGGAAGGGGAGCAGAGGCAGAGCUGUGGGCAGACCCAGAACUGGCUGCAGGUGACCAGACCCCGUGCGAGCAGAGCCAGGAAAGGCAGCGUCAGCCUGGCUCGACCCUUGGCUGAGCUGACCCAGCCGAAGCGGAGGUGAUGCUCCCCUCCCGCAGGCAGGCUGGGCGAGAGCUAGCCUUGGGCUACAGCGUCUUAACCUAAACCCAAAUGCUUUCCCAAAGCAGGCCACAUCCAGCUGGCUCGGCCAAAAGGAUCCACCAGUCCUCUGCAUCCCAUCUGGCUGCUGGGAGAUGGGUGGCACAAAGUCCCCAGGCUCCACCAAGAAAUACAUUUUCUGCUGUUCGCACUGACCUUCCAGUAACAAUAACAUCAUCCGAAACAUCGAGCGCUGGGGAAAUGUUUGUUUUACAAAGUGCAGUAAGAGCUGCUAAAAAAAACAUUUAAAAGGAAAAUAUUCCCUUGUCAACAGGCAAAAAAAAAAAAAAAAAAAAAAAAAAAAAAGUGUGUAUCCAGAGAAAAGAUCCCUGGGAAAUGCCCUUUCCCAUGCACGAUGGCAGGGCUGCUGGGGCUCUGGCAGGACAGCGGAGACAAAGAGCUGGAUGGCAGAGGGUGAGAGCCUGGUGUGGGAGCACCAGGGCUGCGGUGGCCUCAGCCACAUAAGUCAAGUUCCUCGCUGCUGUUCUCAUUUAUAAAUAGAAAGGCAGUUAAUUAUUAUUAGAGCUUCUUGAGUGGGUCUGGAGGAACUACAGCAAACCUUUCCAAAAGAGCUGCUUUCCAGUCCAAGCAGAGCUCCUGGGGUCACAUCCAGAGAAGAUCACGAGGAGCACCUGGAGUUUUGGAGACAGGUGUGGGCUGGUCUCAGGAUGAAGGGCUUCACCCCUGCACCAGGUCGUGGUGCUCCCAGCAUGGCUGGGGGUGAUGUAGUGGCACCCUAAGGAUGGUCUGUCCUCAUCCCACUCUGUGCACCUGCGUUCCCCAUUCCUGUGAUAACAGCGCAACGCAUCAACAGAGAAACUUGCCUUGGGUCUUUUAUCUCCAGCAGCUUCCCCAGGAACUCGGAGGACACAGCCAGCUCCUGCACUGUCACACUGUCCCACCACAGGUGAGGAAGCCGUUUCCUACACCAGGAAAGUGGCUCAAGGGGACCUUUUUGUCACACCUUCAAGCUGCCCCAAGACCUCUGUGGGCUCAUGGAUGGGCACAGAAAGAGGAAGAUGUUCACCUGGAAACCCCAGAAGAAACAUGAAGUUAUCUUCCUUCUGAUCACUGAACCACAAGUUGAGAAUGUGAAAAAGCCAAAAAGAAAUUCCUGCCCUUGACAUCUCCAGCCAGCCAGGUCAGCAGCGCAGCUCCAGCCCUGGGAGAUGCUGAGGACGCUGGUGGACAACACAGCUGAGGAGGCUUUGCCUGUGGUUUUGGGGAUGUGAAGUGCUUUUAUGAUUGCAGACCCCUGAAUCUCCCCAUUCCUGGAGCGGGAUUGUGCUGCAACACACUCCUGGAGCUGCUAUGUGACAGCCUGGCCAAGCACCGAUCCCCCUCUCCAAGCCUUUUGGGGUAGACCUGGGCGAAGCCCCAAGGCAUCGUAUCCACCUGCCGCCAGGAGCCGUGCUGAGUGCUGCCCACAGCGUGGGUCUCUCUGGGUCUCCUGGCUCAGUGGCAGGGGCUGUGAACACAGAAGGGGAGCUGGUAUUUGGGAAUUAGGUUUCCAAGAGCUCCAGCUGGUGCCGCAGGACUCUGUGAUGGAUGCUGGUGCUCCUGCAGAGCUGGAGGUGGCCCACACUCAGGUAGGGCAGAAGAUGUCUGUGGUCCCUGCAGUCUUUAAACUGGUGGCUCCCAAAGAUUUCCACUCACAGGCCCAUUCCCUGGGACACCUCAGACCUUAGCAGAAGAGUCUUGUCAGCAAUCGAUUUUCUGUUGGGCUGGUAGUCCCCACAAACUCUUGUCCCCACCCCCCCCCCCAUGGCAUUGCAGCUCUCCCUUUAGAGACCAUUGCUCCAAGGGUAUUUCAUUUCUCUGCAGAGCCACCUAGAAAGCCACCCAGUAACCUUUAAACUACCUCAUUUGGCUACCGACAGCAUCAAGCUCAGAGCAGGAGGCUGUAGCAUCACUGUAAUGUGUCCAAAACAUCUUCAAAACAGUGGGUUUGACCUGCCUGUCCCUUCUCAGCUGUAGUUUCCCCACGUAGCACAAUCACGGUACGGCUCUCUUCCCUCCCAGCGCUACGAAGCUGGGCGGUUUCACAGCUAGCUCCCAUGUCUGCUUGCUUGUUUAAUCAGGGCUGUGCCAGGAUCCUUCAGCUAACGGUUCAUUGGAAAGCAAUUUUAGAUCCUUGGGUGAAAGAUUAAAUAUAUAGUUGAUGCAUUAUUCCAGUACAAACUGUGCCUGUUGCUAUGGACAGGGAACACAUGUGGGGCCAUUUGGAGGUAAGAGGAGUUGCUUUUAUCUCCUAUUCCCUUUGGCAGUGGCCACAAUUACUGUGCUUUGAAAUCACUCCUUUUGCAGACAAUUAGGAGGGAGGAAUUCUCAGCAAUUAGUCACUCUAAAUCACAUAUGAGCAUAAAAAUAAGGAUAAUUGCACCAUUUUGAGCUUACUGCAAUGAGAUUGGAUACGUGCAAUUCACAUAUAUUCAUAUUUUGUCUCCAGCGCCAACACUACUAAGGAUUUCUUCUUCAGUAGUGGCGAGUGCACGAUGCUGUAAAAUGGGCAUUUUAAUAUUGUCUCUCUUCCCAAAGGUGCUGUAAGAUGAGAACUGCAAUGAGCAUAAAGCAUUUUAAGACUGUGCAAGCAGCGUUACAGGGCUCUUCCCAUUACUGUCCUUAAUUCUGCUGGAAGAUGGGUGUAAAAAGAAAUAAGUAAUGAUCCAAAGCAAACACUUCAAGGCAGAAGCUCGGCUGGCUGAGGCUUGCUGCCUCCGUAGGCUCAUGCCCUUGGGUAGGACAACAGUAAUGAGCAGCUCGGGUUGUGUACCGCGGGGGGAAGGCAGGGCUGUAUUUAGGGUGCUGGUGCUGGGUGCUCAGCCAGCUCCAUGCAGCCAUCACCAUAGCUUCUCGCUGUUCUCUUCUCGUUACGUAGAUAUGGGAGUGAACGCUCAGAGUCCAGAUCUGACGAAGCCACAAAGCUCAGACUUGAAUUUUCCCACAACUCCAAGGUCGAUGCCUGCAGCCAGCUCCAGCCAGGAGCAGUGGGAAUAACCGGCAGCUUCUCUGCCUCUUUGUCACCUCCUCAGGCGCUGCAGGUCUGGGAUGCUUUCUUGGAGGCUUGCCUGUAGGUGCUUGUGCUGAAGUUCCCACAUCUGCAGCCAGGACAAACAUUGGAGAAGGGGGAUUUUCCCCUCACACUCAUGCGACAGCCUCCCUGCCUUCUCUUAGUCUCUGCGCCAUUCCUCAGGGUGUUAAAGCUUGCCCGUGCCAGCAGGUAAGAAGUGGUGACCCACAUAGCCCCGCAGUGCUCCCUACAGCCCCUCCGCCCCCCAGGGCAGCCACCUCCACUCUCACUAGCAACGCCAAAAGGAUUUGUCCCAAGACAACCAUCCAAUUUCGACAGAAAUGCAGAAUUCAAGCCUCAUUAAUUGCCAGCACGCCACACACGGGUUUGUCCCAUUAGUGAAGAACGAACAAAACCCAUCUCCAGGCUGCUCUGUCUGAUGCCACCCAGUGUUUGCCUUGGACCCUGCUGCUUUUUGAGAAACCAGGUCUAAACCAUUGCAUUUUUGAGAAACCAGGUCUAAAACACUGCAUGUAGGAGAACUGCACUGCCUUUGUUUGUUUCUUCCUUCACAAAGACUUCCCUCGGCUGAAAGCUGCUGAAGUCACAAGGGGGCUUUUGC